rnacentral:rRNA from 1 species
GACGAACGCUGGCGGCGUGCUUAACACAUGCAAGUCGAACGAAGUGGCGAACGGGUGAGUAAUACGCGAGUAACUGCUCCCCUCUCUGGGAUAACAGUUGGAAACGGCUGCCAAAACCGGAUAGUGGGGGAUGACUGUCGUCCUAUAAGCUUGUUGGUGGGGUAGUGGCCUACCAAGGCGACGACGGGUAGUCGGCCUGAGAGGGCGACCGGCCACCUUGUGCUGAGAUACGGCCCCGACGCCGACGGGAGGCAGCAGUGGGGUGUAAUGCACAAUGGGCUAAAGCCUGAUGCACGAAGCCGCUUGGGGGAUGUAGGCUUUCGGGUUGUAAACCUCUUUCGCUAUCGACGGGGUAGGUGGAGAAGAAGCGCCGGCUAACUACGUGCCAGCGGCCGCGGUAAUCC